rnacentral:rRNA from 1 species
ACAUGCGAGUCGAGCGGUAGAGAGAAGCUUGCUUCUCUUGAGAGCGGCGGACGGGUGAGUAAUGCCUAGGAAUCUGCCUGGUAGUGGGGGAUAACGCUCGGAAACGGACGCUAAUACCGCAUACGUCCUACGGGAGAAAGCAGGGGACCUUCGGGCCUUGCGCUAUCAGAUGAGCCUAGGUCGGAUUAGCUAGUUGGUGAGGUAAUGGCUCACCAAGGCGACGAUCCGUAACUGGUCUGAGAGGAUGAUCAGUCACACUGGAACUGAGACACGGUCCAGACUCCUACGGGAGGCAGCAGUGGGGAAUAUUGGACAAUGGGCGAAAGCCUGAUCCAGCCAUGCCGCGUGUGUGAAGAAGGUCUUCGGAUUGUAAAGCACUUUAAGUUGGGAGGAAGGGC